rnacentral:rRNA from 1 species
GACGAACGCUGGCGGCGUGCCUAAUACAUGCAAGUCGAGCGGACGGAUGGGAGCUUGCUCCCAGCCCGUCAGCGGCGGACGGGUGAGUAACACGUGGGCAACCUGCCUGUAAGACUGGGAUAACUCCGGGAAACCGGGGCUAAUACCGGAUAACUCUUUCCCUCACAUGAGGGAAAGCUGAAAGAUGGCAUCUCGCUAUCACUUACAGAUGGGCCCGCGGCGCAUUAGCUAGUUGGUGAGGUAACGGCUCGCCAAGGCGACGAUGCGUAGCCGACCUGAGAGGGUGAUCGGCCACACUGGGACUGAGACACGGCCCAGACUCCUACGGGAGGCAGCAGUAGGGAAUCUUCCGCAAUGGACGAAAGUCUGACGGAGCAACGCCGCGUGAGUGAUGAAGGUGUUCGGAUCGUAAAACUCUGUUGUCAGGGAAGAACAAGUACCGGAGUAACUGCCGGUACCUUGACGGUACCUGACCAGAAAGCCACGGCUAACUACGUG